rnacentral:rRNA from 1 species
CCUACGGGUGGCAGCAGUGGGGAAUAUUGGACAAUGGGGGCAACCCUGAUCCAGCCAUGCCGCGUGUGUGAAGAAGGCCCUCGGGUUGUAAAGCACUUUCAGUGAGGAAGAACGCCUGGUGGUUAAUACCCAUCAGGAAAGACAUCACUCACAGAAGAAGCACCGGCUAACUCCGUGCCAGCAGCCGCGGUAAUACGGAGGGUGCGAGCGUUAAUCGGAAUUACUGGGCGUAAAGCGCGCGUAGGUGGCUUGAUAAGCCGGUUGUGAAAGCCCCGGGCUCAACCUGGGAACGGCAUCCGGAACUGGCAAGCUAGAGUGCAGGAGAGGAAGGUAGAAUUCGCGGUGUAGCGGUGAAAUGCGUAGAGAUCGGGAGGAAUACCAGUGGCGAAGGCAGCCUUCUGGGCUGACACUGACACUGAGGUGCGAAAGCGUGGGUAGCAAACAGGAUUAGAUACCCUUGUAGUC